rnacentral:lncRNA from 1 species
UAAAUCAUAAAAAAUUUAAAUUUAAUAUAAAAAAUAAUUUUAAUUCAGAAAAUGGAAGAGGAAAAUAUUAGAAUUUUUCUGGUGAAAGUCCCAUAUUUUUUGGAUUAAAAAUGAAAUUAAUAUGAAUUAAUCAAAAUAAAAGGAUUAAAUGAAAAAUCAGAAAAUAAAAUAUAAAUAAAAAACAAGGGCCAUUUGAUCUCCC